UACGUAGGGGUCUAGCGUUGUCCGGAAUUAUUGGGCGUAAAGAGCUCGUAGGCGGUUCGGCAAGUCGGAUGUGAAAUCUCCACGCUUAACGUGGAGGGGCCAUUCGAAACUGCCGUGACUCGAGUCCGGUAGGGGAGUUCGGAAUUCCCGGUGUAGCGGUGAAAUGCGCAGAUAUCGGGAGGAACACCAGUGGCGAAGGCGACUUCCUGGCCUGUUCUUGACGCUGAGGCGCGAAAGCUAGGGGAGCAAACGGG
rnacentral:rRNA from 1 species